UCCGUAGGGGGCAAGCGUUGUCCGGAUUUAUUGGGCGUAAAGAGCGUGUAGGCGGCCAUGCCGGUCCGUUGUGAAAACUCGAGGCUCAACCUCGAGACGCCGGUGGAAACCGUGUGGCUAGAGUCCGGAAGAGGAGAGUGGAAUUCCUGGUGUAGCGGUGAAAUGCGCAGAUAUCAGGAAGAACACCCGUGGCGAAGGCGGCUCUCUGGGACGUGACUGACGCUGAGACGCGAAAGCGUGGGGAGCAAACAGG
rnacentral:rRNA from 1 species